GGGAAUUGUCUUUCAUAUAAAUAUAGGUCUAAUGGAGAGGUGUUCCAUAUGAUCUAAGUGAAACAUAUUGAGAGCUUUAGUUUUGAGUAGUUUCUAAAGCUAAUAAGAAAAGUUGUUCUUAUAACUCUUUGUGUUUCUAAGAGAUCUGAGAUUUCUCAUGUGAACUCAAUUAUCAACUAUAAGUGUGUUUUUUCCGGGGCCGAGAUCAGUUAGACAGGCUUAUUCAAAAAAAAAAUUUGCAUGGGGAGAGGUCAAAUAUAAAAAUAAAAUAAUAUUAAUAGAUAUUUUUGGAGCUAAUUGGUAAAACAUGUGUAAUUAAGGAUCCCGAGUCGAGUCGGUGAAGACUCCAAAGUACGUUGGUGUAUUAAAUGUAUUUAAGAUUGUGAACUGGGAGGAAUUCAAUAUCCCAAUCCCCAUAAGAUACGCAUAUUGGGUACUGAGUCAUAUUCGUUAUUGCUUAUUUGUUUGAAUUUUAAUAUAGUCAGUGAAAAUUUAAGACUAGUGUGUGUAUAUCAAGGUUUUAAAAACCGGACCGGACCGGCCGGUCGAACCGGUUCGACCGCGACUCGUUUAGUAAGCCGAGUCCGGUUCGAUUCAAAACCCGGAUUUCAUAAAACUCGGGCAACUCGGCUAAAAACCGGUGGAACCGGUGACCCGGGUUGACGUUAGAACCCGGUUUGUUAUUUUUGACACAUUUUAAAUUGUAAUUAGGGUUUUAUAUCAGGCUAAUCCUGGAUAAUAACUUAAGUUAAUAAUAGUAAUACUUAACAGCCGUCAUUUUUUAAUAAUUCUCGAGAAAAAAAAGAAACCUAAACGUCUUCUCGUCGUCUCUCACUGUCAUACACCAUUCUCCAUCUGAAUUUUUCUUUGCCACAAGAUUUGGAACUGCACUUGUAAGAAAAAGUAAGUAACGUGAUUCUCUUUUGUUGUUCGAAAUUUGAUAUAACAUAUAAAUAUAUUAUUUUUUUGUUAUUUUUACUAGUUAAUGGAGGGGAAUCAUUCAGAACCAGAUUUAGGCGUACCUUCUUCUCAACGUUCAGUUCGUCGUAAAGAUGACAUAGCUUGGAGAUAUAUAACAGAACGGACUGAGCAGAAUGGGAAGAAAACUUUGAUUUGUGACUUCUGUCAGAAAGAGAGCGGAGGUGGAGGCAUUAACAGAAUGAAACAACAUUUAGCUGGGAUAAGAGGAAACAUAGAUUCAUGUACCAAAGUUUCUGCAGAAGUUCAGUUUCAGAUGAAGCAAUCAUUGAAAGAAAAUGAAGACAAAAAUAAGGAAAAGAGAGGCAUACCACUUGAUGAUAUAAACAUUGUUGCUGAUAUGAAUGCUGAUGGACAAGGCAUUCAUUCUCAGCCAUCUGUUACUCAAACCAAAAAGAGAAACAGAGGUGGAGAUUUACAUGGGUUUUUUAAAACAGGCCUGAGUGAUCCUACUCAACCAAGUAUAAAGGCAUCUAUACAAAGCAAGGAGAAGGUGCAUGAUGCUGAUAUGGCUGUUGCUUUAUGGUUUUAUGAUGCUUGCAUUCCCAUGAACGCUGUGAACUCUCCAUUCUUUCCAGUUAUGUUAAGCAAAGCUGCUAGUUUAGGACAUGGAUAUACUGGUCCUUCGUAUCAUGCUUUGAGGGUUGGGUUAUUAAGAGAUGCAAAAAAACAUGUAUCUUUGAUCGUUGAAUCAUUUAGAAGCACGUGGGCUAGCACCGGCUGUACCUUGAUGGGAGAUGGAUGGAAAGACACUAGAAAAAGACCACUGAUCAAUUUUUUAGUGUACUGUCCAAAAGGAGUUACGUUCAUCAAGUCGGUUGAUGCAUCUGAUGUAUACACAAAUGCAGAGAAUUUGUGUAAUUUAUUUGAUGAGAUGGUGGAAAUGGUUGGCUCUGAAAAUGUGGUUCAUUUAGUGACUGAUAAUGCGCCUAACUACAAGGCUUCAGGUAGACUACUUGCGGAGAGAUAUCCAAAUAUUUCUUGGUCUCCAUGUGCAGCUCAUUGCAUGAAUUUAAUAUUGGAGGAUGUGGGAAACAUGCCUAAUGUUAAAGAGUUAGUUUCUGCUGUAUCAAAGGUAACUAUCUUUGUCUACAAUCAUAAGUCAACUUUAAAUUUUUUGAGGAAGAGGCAAGGUUGGAGGGAAAUCAUUCGUCCAGGAGAAACCCGAUUUGCUACCACUUUUAUAGCCCUUCAGAGUGCAUAUGCACAUAAAGAUGACUUACAAGCUUUGGUAGUAGAUCAAGAGUUCAGACAGUUUCUGAAAACAGAGAAAGCAAGAUGUGUCAAGGCUGUUGUUUUGGAUGAAAACAUGUGGGCGCAUUGUUUGUUGAUCGUAAGGAUUAUGGCUCCAAUGAUACGCUUGUUGCGUAUUUGUGAUACUGAUGAGAAGCCAUCAUUACCAUAUGUCUAUGAAGGAAUGUAUCGAGCACGUUUAGGCAUCAAGAAGAUAUUUGGAAAAAAGAAGGAAUUGUAUAAGCCUUAUACAAGGAUCAUAAAGAACAGGUGGGAUAGAAUGUUGCGCCAUGAUCUUCAUGCUGCAGCAUACUUCUUCAAUCCAGCUUUCAUGUAUGAUCAAAAGAACUUUUCAAAAAAGCCUGAGAUAUUGAAAGGGAUGUUAAAUUUGAUGGAAAAACAAAAAGGGUCUGACAGAACAAAGAUCUUUGAGGGGAUGACAAUGUAUAGAGAACGUGAGAAAAGCUUCUCACAUUCAUCAGCUUUAAGUUGUUCGAAAACCACUCGUCCUGAUGAGUGGUGGAAGUUCUUUGGAUAUGAUGUUCCUGUUUUGCAGAAGCUAGCAAUUCGAAUUCUUAGCCAAACUGCAUCUUCAUCGGGCUGUGAACGUAAUUGGUCUGUGUUUGAAAGAAUUCACACAAAAAGGAGGAAUAGAUUGGAACAUCAAAGACUCAAUGAUCUUGUCUACGUUCAUUACAAUUUGCGCCUGCAAGAUAGGUUCUCAAAAAGAAAGAGGUCAUAUGAUCCAAUUGAUUAUGAGUCCAUUGAUAAAACUGAGUUCUGGGUAGUAGAAGAAAGUGGAGAAGCUGAACUAGAUUAUGAUGAACUUGAGAAUGCACUUACUGAAGAAAACCCAAAAGAUGGAGAAGAUGCAACUUCUGAAACCUUGAACUUGAACGGUAGAUACAUCUUCUUUUAUACGACAUGUUUUUUUUGGCUAUGAUGUCUAUUAUUUAACUCAUGCAUUUUUCAUAUUUUUUUCUUGUUUUAGAAGGUACCGAAGAUGAAGUGCCAUUCUCUCAAGAUGAUACAACUGAAUAAAUUUGAGAUAUUCUAUCAUUCUCCAACAGAUUUUUUUUUGUCAUGUUUUCAUUUAGUUCAUUACAUUAAAUAUUCAGUUACUAUUUAUCUAUUUUAUGAUGCUAUUUUAGAUAAUAUUCAUCAGACAUUUUUACAUUUUUAUAUAUGAUUAAUUAUAUAAUAUAUAUUUAUAUAUUAAAUAUAUAAAUAUAUUUAAUAAAUAAAAACCCGGUUCGACCGGUUGAACCGGUUCGACCAAUCAACCAGUGAAUACGCCGAGUCGGUGUCCGGUCCGGUUUUUAAAACAUUGGUGUAUAUUGGGCUUAGGUAUAUGUCAAUCGCAGUCAGCCAGUUUUAAUUUAAAAAUAUUAUAUGCUGGCUUGUUACAACAAAUUGUUGCCACGGUAAUUGGGGCUAACAACAAAUUCUUAAACCCUACUAAUGUUUAAUGUCUUAGGGCAUCUUUAUUCCUAAACCCUUACCAGAGGUUCUUAUUUCUUUUAUUUUUUUAUUAAUUUUUUUAUUUGAUUCAAAAAAAAACUGAAAAUAAACCAAUCGCAGACCGCCACAUGUCAGUGAACCUGCGAACAGUUGAAGAACCAAGCAAUCACUGUCUCUUAUUUAGAGACUUUUAGAAAAGUUUUUAAGUAUUUGUGGACCCUUUCCAAAUGUUAAAAAAAGAGCGAUAAAGAUGGUCUUAGAAUAGAUUUUUAUCCAUUAAAAUUUUAAAUAUUUAGUGGAUCCUAUAAUUACAUACAUAUAUAUAAUAUAUAUAUACACAUAUAUUUAUAUUUAGAACUUCAAACUCCAAUGAAAUAGAACCUUCUAUUGGAGGUGCUCGUGUCUUUACCGUAUUUUUAUACAGAGAAAAAAAAUGUAAAGAGAGAAAGAAGUUGCAUGCAUCAUGCAGACAUAAGAGAGUGGACAUGUGCAUAGGGAAAAGUGUCAUGAGUCACGUGCUCUCCCACUCGACCACGUGCCGUCUAAGCUACUCCGAAUCGAUUCCAAAAUUAAUUGGAGUCUUAACUUUUGAUUAAUAUAAUAUAGUACUAUGUAAAAAAUUAAUUAGUGAGAUUAAACACAUGCGAAUGCACGCAGUUGCAACUUGGCACUUGUAUUACGGAGACCGAGAUUUGCUAUAGGUGUUAAUUAGUUUUACUUAUUAGGUUGAGUAGCUCAUCCAAGAUAUACAAGCAUGCAUCUCAUGGUAAUCGAGUGUUUAAUACAAAUGUACUAUAUAUGUAUGCUUGCAAAUCUAUCUAUCUAAUAAAACUACCAGUUGUAUAUGUUGAUACAAAAUAAAUACUAUCGUUUGUGUUUUUUUUUCUUGUACAUAUUUAUAUAAUGAGCUUUUUCGUCAUAGAAAAAGUUGUCGGUGGUACUCUCAUUUCACCGAUCUGGUGACAGCUUUUUAAAAAGAAAAAAGGAACUAUCCGAAUAAAAACAAGCCGUUACAUUGGAUUUAUUUGUUCAUUCUCAUUCCACACACUCAACGUUUGUUAAAAAGAAAAUGGUUUUAAUUUGACUAUCCCCAAAAUGACAUCCUUUCUUAAAUCCGAUCUCAUAUAAAUUGGAUCUACAGCUCUGUGUUUGUAUGUAGUAGUAUUAAAUUGCCUGAAAUGAAUGAGACAAGACUCAAAUGCCAUAAAUAUUCUUCUUGUUUUAGUUGAUGGAAAAAGAUUUUUUUACUCCUUAGGACACUUUUCCAGUUUCAUAUAUCACAUUAAGACACAUUGAACUUGAGGCAACCUUCUUGGCUAGCCAAAGACAUCGAUGCCCCUAGAACAAAUAAAACCAAACCGGACACAUUGAAAACCAAACCGAAUCGAGUUUAAUUUAAACCCAAGUAUACCAACGCCAAACUAUACCUAGUUCAUAAAUCUAAAGACACACUUUUAUCCUACGGUUCACACCCUCUCUCUCUCUCUCUCUCUCUCUCUCUCUCUGAUACUUUGUGCGACAGAGAUUAAGAACCCUAGUUUCCGCGGCGGAGAUUAAGAACCCUAGUUUCCUCACCCCUCAAUCAUCUUCCUCACCCCUCAAUCAUCUUCCUCACCCCUCAAUCGUAUGUCUCAUUUCGUAUUGCACCCUUUACAAUCUUCCUAACCCGUCAAUCUUCGGUCUCGAUCUGCUGUCUUGUCAUAUUCAGCGGCGUAGAUUAAGUUCCCUACUCGAUCUAUCAUCUUCCUCGCCUUCUCGAUCUGCUGUCUUGAUUGCUCCGACAUGCAAGGAAACAACAAGCCAGACCACCUUCUCCCUCCGAGGCUGUUCGCCACAGACAGGGCCCCAAGCGGACGUAUCAACAUCUACUCCAAGCCAGACCUUCUAGCUUUUAUACAGCAUGCUCUCCGUAACACCAAAGAGCUCCAGUACAUCAAAGACUCUUGUUUCGGGAAGUUAUUUGAGCUCCCAGCACGUCAGUGUCCUGCCUCGUGUAAAAUAAUACACGCUUUUCUUACAAGACAGCUAAUUGUCGAGGAUAAACACACACUCUGGUCAGUCUUUGGAAGCGAUCCCAUCCGUUUCGGCCUCCAAGAGUUCGGCACAAUCACAGGUCUGCCUUGUGGAGAUUUUCCUGCAGACUACAACACUGAACUGGAAGACCAGAGUAAAGCUCACAAAGAUCCUGACUGGAUCAAGCUGAUCGGUAAAAAGAGAUUCACCACCAUUGCUGAUCUACGCCACAAGCUCGAGACUGAAACAACGAUGCCAGGAAAAAAGAAGCUGCGCCUAGCUCUAAUAAUAAUUGUUGAUGGGGUUCUAAUCGCUCAUCAACAAACUCCACGGCCUACUCUGAAGUACGUCAAGAUGGUCCAGGACGUCGACGCUUUCUGCCUACACCCUUGGGGCAGAGAGUCUUUCCUCAAGACUAUUACCUGCAUGAAACCUCCCAAGUUCAUCCCUCUGAAAUGCGAGGACCCUAUUGCAAAGCUUGUUGAUCUUUUGAAGCAGGAAACUUUCAGGCUGAAGGGAUUCCCCCUAUCAUUACAACUCCUUGCAUUUCAAGCCGUCCCGGAGCUGCAGUCCAUAAUCCCAGCCCCCUUAGACUCGCUAUCAAUCAUCCAACUCGAAGAACCUCAUCUUCCUGUUUACCCGAAGAUUAGCUACCUUGA